GCCAAUCGGUACACAAGGCUGCAC
rnacentral:piRNA from 1 species